GUUGACCUCGGAUCAGGUAGGAAUACCCGCUGAACUUAAGCAUAUCAAUAAGCGGAGGAAAUCG
rnacentral:rRNA from 1 species